CAGCCGCCACGGUAAUACGAAGGGGGCUAGCGUUGUUCGGAAUUACUGGGCGUAAAGCGCACGUAGGCGGAUAUUUAAGUCAGGGGUGAAAUCCCGCAGCUCAACUGCGGAACUGCCUUUGAUACUGGGUAUCUUGAGUAUGGAAGAGGUUAGUGGAAUUGCGAGUGUAGAGGUGAAAUUCGUAGAUAUUCGCAAGAACACCAGUGGCGAAGGCGGCUCACUGGCCCGGUACUGACGCUGAGGUGCGAAAGCGUGGGGAGCAAACAGGAUUAGAUACCCGUGUAGUCCCUGUCUCUUAUAA
rnacentral:rRNA from 1 species